CCCCCGCGGAAAGCUACGGAUGUGCUGAACCACCAGGCAAAAGGGUCGUCACCAAGGUCACCCUUCACCCAGGCCCCAGGGAGACACCGUUUCCACCUAGCCCCAGCCCUGGGCACUCUGACAACAUGAGCAACUUGUCAAAGGACAGGGCAUGUCCACGGGACCGAUGCCAGAGCUGGCAAGAACCUUAAAGGCCAUCCGGUCAGUGCCCUAUUUUGUACUCAGGAAACUGAAACCCAGAGGGACAAAAGACACGGCUGAAGUGCCAUGACCAGAGCCAGAGCGGCAAUUCGGGUCUCGGGCCGGCCGACCCGAAGUACUCUGGGGCCUGCACACUCGGGGCGUGGCCGAGAGCUGUGGUCACACAGGCGGCCAGCACAGCACCCCACGUGGGCUCUCUGGGGGCACCCCCAUACUUAAAAGAGCAAACACGUGUUCCUUUCAUCUCUACCAAGUCAAGACUUUUCUGGUUAAGGUACAGCAGAAAGACUUUACCACGGCAGCCUCGCCAUCCCCAGGCCUGGAGGCUGACGCUGAUUACCCUGAAGCCCAUGCCCGAUCGGACCAGCUCAAGCCACCAGAGUCGGGGAACAGGUGGAAAUACUUGCAGAAACACGGGUUGUCCUUCCAGUCGCCAACUAAACAGUGUCCAAAAGUCAGAGCAACAGCUGAGAACGAGCCAACGAUGUCUUCCGUAGAAACAUGCAUGUGACACCCGCCCCCCCACCACCCCAUGCACACUGCUUUGGUCUCUUUAAACAAAUUAUUUUUUUUCUUUUGUUCUGUCAGGUAGUUACUAAUAGAGAGCACAAAAAAAACGUCCUGGGCAGUUGGGGCGCCCGGGCGGCUCAGUCGGUUGAGCGUCUCACUCUUGGUUUUGGCUCAGGUCAUGAUCUCACAGGUCAUGGGUUCAAGCCCUCCAUCAGGCUCCACGCUGACAGCUCAGAGCCUGCUUGGGAUUCUGUCUCUCCCUCUCCCUCUGCCCCUCCCCCCACUCUCUCUCUUCUCUAAUACAAUAGAUUUUUGAAAAUAAAAAAAGAAACGGG